rnacentral:rRNA from 2 species
GUAUCCGAAUUUAUCUCACAUCUGACGUGAUCCACGCCGCGUGAGUGAUGAAGGCUUUCGGGUCGUAAAACUCUGUUGUUAGGGAAGAACAAGUGCUAGUUGAAUAAGCUGGCACCUUGACGGUACCUAACCAGAAAGCCACGGCUAACUACGUGCCAGCAGCCGCGGUAAUACGUAGGUGGCAAGCGUUAUCCGGAAUUAUUGGGCGUAAAGCGCGCGCAGGUGGUUUCUUAAGUCUGAUGUGAAAGCCCACGGCUCAACCGUGGAGGGUCAUUGGAAACUGGGAGACUUGAGUGCAGAAGAGGAAAGUGGAAUUCCAUGUGUAGCGGUGAAAUGCGUAGAGAUAUGGAGGAACACCAGUGGCGAAGGCGACUUUCUGGUCUGUAACUGACACUGAGGCGCGAAAGCGUGGGGAGCAAACAGGAUUAGAUACCCUGGUAGUCCCA